UACGAAGGGUGCGAGCGUUAAUCGGAAUUACUGGGCGUAAAGCGCGCGUAGGCGGUUAGUUAAGUCGGAUGUGAAAGCCCUGGGCUCAACCUGGGAAUUGCAUUCGAUACUGGCUGGCUAGAGUGUGGUAGAGGGAAGCGGAAUUCCAGGUGUAGCGGUGAAAUGCGUAGAUAUCUGGAGGAACAUCAGUGGCGAAGGCGGCUUCCUGGACCAACACUGACGCUGAGGCGCGAAAGCGUGGGUAGCAAACAGG
rnacentral:rRNA from 1 species